rnacentral:rRNA from 1 species
UAAGUAGGGUGCGAGCGUUAUCCGGAAUUAUUGGGCGUAAAGAGCUCGUAGGCGGUUUGUCACGUCUGCUGUGAAAGCUGAAGGCUUAACCUUUCAGUGUGCAGUGGGUACGGGCAGGCUGGAGUGCAGUAGGGGAGACUGGAAUUCCUGGUGUAGCGGUGAAAUGCGCAGAUAUCAGGAGGAACACCGAUGGCGAAGGCAGGUCUCUGGGCUGUUACUGACGCUGAGGAGCGAAAGCAUGGGGAGCGAACAGG